CCUACGGGAGGCUGCAGUGAGGAAUAUUGGUCAAUGGACGAGAGUCUGAACCAGCCAAGUAGCGUGAAGGAUGACUGCCCUAUGGGUUGUAAACUUCUUUUAUAUGGGAAUAAAAUGUUCCACGUGUGGGAUUUUGUAUGUACCAUAUGAAUAAGGAUCGGCUAACUCCGUGCCAGCAGCCGCGGUAAUACGGAGGAUCCGAGCGUUAUCCGGAUUUAUUGGGUUUAAAGGGAGCGUAGGUGGAUUGUUAAGUCAGUUGUGAAAGUUUGCGGUUCAACCGUAAAAUUGCAGUUGAAACUGGCAGUCUUGAGUACAGUAGAGGUGGGCGGAAUUCGUGGUGUAGCGGUGAAAUGCGUAGAUAUCACGAAGAACUCCGAUUGCGAAGGCAGCUCACUGGACUGCAACUGACACUGAGGCUCGAAAGUGUGGGGAUCAAACAGGAUUAGAUACCCUUGUAGUC
rnacentral:rRNA from 1 species